UACUAUGGUCAAGCACAACUCUAAACUUCCAUAAGCAACAUUACAUUACAUUUCUAUACUAUACUUUUACAUUACAUCAUAUUCAUAUCCACAUCUAGCUAUUACAAUAACAUAACUCUACUCCUGCUGACCUCCUGGUCUACCCUGUACCAGCAAAUCUGGGGGUUAAGGGAGAGGGGUGAGCUACUAGAGCCCAGUGAGCAGAAUAGUAAAACAUUAAAUUUAAAGUUCAUGCUUCCAUGAAAUGCAUCACAUCACAAACAUAUCACAUAAAGGAUGAACUUGUCACCAAUAGCCCUCUACAUAAUUCCAUAGUGCCAGAACGUAGAAUGGGUCCUGGUCUUUCUCUUACAUGGUGCCAGCGAACGUAGAAUGGGUCCCACUGGUCUUUCAUUCCGUACCGUACAUAUCAUAUCAUCACAUCAUAGAUCGAGGACUAUAGAUCAUCCAACAUUCAUCCGCAUCAACAACAUAUUAUGCAAUGCAACAUAUUCGUGAAUUCUAAUGCAAGCACCCUAGUAUAUCUCAUGGCAUUCAUGAUGCAUGUAUCAUGCUCAAAAUUUAUUUAUUUGCUUUGAAACGUAAUGAGUUAUUCCACUCACCUCUGGCUGAAGCUCUAAUGACUCUGAAGCAGCUAUCUCACUGCUGAGG
rnacentral:lncRNA from 1 species